CGUAAACGAUGAGUGCUAAGUGUUAGGGGGUUCCGCCCUUUAGUGCUGCAGCUAACGCAUUAAGCACUCCGCUGGGGAGUACGACCGCAAGGUUGAAACUCAAAGGAAUUGACGGGGGCCCGCACAAGCGGUGGAGCAUGUGGUUUAAUUCGAAGCAACGCGAAGAACCUUGCCAGGUCUUGACAUCCUUUGACAACUCUAGAGAUAGAGCUUUCCCUUCGGGGACAAAGUGACAGGUGGUGCAUGGUUGUCGUCAGCUCGUGUCGUGAGAUGUUGGGUUAAGUCCCGCAACGAGCGCAACCCUUAUUGUUAGUUGCCAUCAUUCAGUUGGGCACUCUAGCGAAACUGCCGGUGACAAACCGGAGGAAGGUGGGGAUGACGUCAAAUCAUCAUGCCCCUUAUGACCUGGGCUACACACGUGCUACAAUGGACAGUACAAUGAGCAGCGACACGGCGACGUGAAGCGAAUCUCAUAAAGCUGUUCUCAGUUCGGAUUGUAGGCUGCAACUCGCCUACAUGAAGCCGGAAUCGCUAGUAAUCGCGGAUCAGCACGCCGCGGUGAAUACGUUCCCGGGCCUUGUACACACCGCCCGUCACACCACGAAAGUUUGUAACACCCAAAGUCGGUGAGGUAACCUUCGGGAGCCAGCCGCCUAAGGUGGGAUAGAUGAUUGGGGUGAAGUCGUAACAAGGUAACCA
rnacentral:rRNA from 1 species